UACGUAGGGUGCGAGCGUUAAUCGGAAUUACUGGGCGUAAAGCGUGCGCAGGCGGUUCGUUGUGUCGGCGGUGAAAGCCCCGGGCCUAACCUGGGAACCGCAUUCGAUACUGAAUGUCUAGAGUAUGGUAGAGGGAGGUGGAAUUCCCGGUGUAGCGGUGAAAUGCGCAGAUAUCGGGAGGAACACCGGUGGCGAAGGCGGUUCUCUGGGCCUGUACUGACGCUGAGGAGCGAAAGCGUGGGGAGCGAACAGG
rnacentral:rRNA from 1 species